GAUUGCAAACACAGUGAAGAGACCCGUUUGCAAGCAGCAGCCAGUUUGGCCACGCAGAGCAUCCAGUGCAGAGCACUAGUGCGUUGGAGAGCUUAUGUGGCAUUGUGCAGAGAAGAAACUGAAAGAAAGAAUGCAGCAAAUCAACACUACCAACAUCAUUUAAUGCGUGCUGGAUUGCGAGGGUUGUCUCUUAAUGUCGUGUUGAACAAAACA